UACGGAGGGUGCGAGCGUUGUCCGGAAUCACUGGGCGUAAAGGGCGCGUAGGCGGCCUGAUAAGUAGGGGGUGAAAUCCUGCGGCUUAACCGCAGGGCUGCCUUCUAAACUGUCAGGCUAGAGCACAGUAGAGGCAGGUGGAAUUCCCGGUGUAGCGGUGGAAUGCGUAGAGAUCGGGAAGAACGCCGGUGGCGAAAGCGACUGUCUGGGGUGCCUGUGACGCUGAGGCGCGAAAGCCAGGGGAUCAAACGGG
rnacentral:rRNA from 1 species